GCUUGUCUCAAAGAUUAAGCCAUGCAUGUCUAAGUACAAGCCUCAGUAAGGUGAAACCGCGAAUGGCUCAUUAAAUCACACCUAAUCUACUGGAAAGUUACUAGUUACUUGGAUAACUGAGGUAAUUCUUGAGCUAAUACAUGCGCCCAGACCCAACUUUUAGGAAGGGUUGUAUUUAUUAGGUACAGAACCAAUGCAAGCUCCGCUUGACCUUUUGGUGAUUCAUGGUAACCGAACGAAUCGCACGGCACCAGCUGGCGAUGGACCAUUUCAGUUUCUGACCUAUCAGCUUCCGACGGUAGGAUAUGGGCCUACCGUGGCAAUGACGGGUAACGGAGAAUUAGGGUUCGAUUCCGGAGAGGGAGCCUGAGAAACGGCUACCACAUCUAAGGAAGGCAGCAGG
rnacentral:rRNA from 1 species